rnacentral:tRNA from 1 species
UUAGAGCAUGGUGUAAUAUGGUAGCACGAAGAUUUUUGAAUUCUUAGGGUUAGGUUCGAGUCCUAUAGUUCUAG